UUUAUCUUUUUUUUCGUUGCUUUGUUUAUGUUUUGUGGUGUUGUGAUUGAUUUUCUUCAUUUUGGUGUUGUUGAUUAAAUGGGUUGGUUUUUUAUGGAUUGAAAAAUGAUGAGGUUUGAUUGAACUGGGGAUUUUGUUGUUCUGCUUCAUUUGGGUGUUUUUGAUUAGGCCGACUGGUUUUUUAUUGUUUGAAUAAUGAUGGGUUUUAAUUGAAUUUGGAUUUUUUUUUUCUCUGUUAUGAUUGUUCUAUUUGAGCUUAUCUGGGUUUUAGAUUAAUUAGCUUUGCUUACAAAGUUGUUUGCCAAAGUGGGUCUUAUGAAAACAAUUGUUGCCUUUGAAUACUGAUUAAUGAUGAUUAAUGGGUUGUGAUUCAGUUUGCAUUAUAUUGUUAUGAUUGUCUUAUUUAAGCUUCUUGAAGUUUCAAAUGUGUCUUUUUUAUUUCUUGAUUAGGAGAAGCAGUUGUUGCUAUUAGUGAUCAUGGGCUUUGAUUGAAUUCGGGUUUAUGUUGUUUUACUUGUCGCAUUUGAGCUUCUUAUGGUUUCAAAGGCGUCAUCGUAAUUGUUUUCUCAGUUGUGGCCUUGUGUGUCUUACCGAAACUCUUGUUGCUACUAAGACAGUGAUUUUUAUUGAGGUGUGAUUUUGAGAAUAUUCAGUUGUUAGUUGGGUGUUGUUCUUAGCUAUACCAUGAUAAUUGAGAUGGUUUAUUCAUCAAUCAGAAGGAGUCAUAUUCUGAAUGAUAUGAAUGGUGCAGUACCAAUCGGAAGCGCAGAGCACCAAUUAGAAAGUUGAGGACAUGCACAGGCUGUAUUAUAGACGGGUUGAAGAAGGGAAACAAUUUCCAGUUUUGUGUCGUCGACUGGCAAGUUUAAAUGAAGAGUUUAUUUCAAAUAAAUCUCCUUUUUCUGGGUUUGAUUUCACUUCAGGGAAGAAAAUUGAACAAAAGUUGAUUGAUUAUAAUCAGGAAGCUGAUAGAUUUGGAGGUUUUGCUUUUGAGGAAUUGUGUGAGGUGUCACCUGACCACCGUUAUAUUGCCUAUACUAUGUAUGACAAAGACAAUGAUUUUUUUAAGUUGUCUGUGAGGGACCUUGUUACUGGUUCUUUGCGUGAUAAGCCACAAGCUGAUUGGGUUUCAAAUGUGUCAUGGGCCAAAAAUGGGCAGUCAUUGUUCUAUGUUGCCACUGAUCACUACAAGCGGCCUUGCAAGUUGUACUGUAGCAUGCUAGGUACAAAUGAUGAUGAUGUCUUGCUUCUUCAUGAGCCAAAGGAGAAUGUCUACAUUAGCAUGCGGCACACUAAAGACUUCAGUUUUGUGACUAUCUAUGUAUUCUCAACAACAACUUCAAAGGUGUAUCUGAUAGACUCUACCAAUCCUUUAUCAGGAAUGACAUUAGUUUGGGAAGGUGAGCCAUUUGUUCAUUGUGUUGUUGAGCAUCAUCGAGGGUACCUCUAUUUAUUUACCGAUGCUACAAGAAAAGGACAACCAGUUGAUGAUCAUUACCUUCUUCGAUCUCCUGUUGAUGUUGAUGUUUCUACUGAUCAUAGAGUGUGGGAGGCCGUGUUUUUGGAUGACCCAAAUGUGGCCAUUCUGGAUGUUGAUUUCAACGAUACACACAUGGUGUUUAUUUUGAGAGAAAGUCAAACAUUUAAACUAUGUACAGUUCCUUUGCCUUUGCCUAAUCAUGAGAAAGUAGUUCGUUUGGUGGAGCAUAAACCAAGUUACCUUCCUUUGCCGAAGCAUGUGUGUGAAAUUUUGCCCGGGCCAAAUUAUGACUUCUACUCCUGCAGAGUGCGCUGUACAGUUUCUUCUCCAUUGAUGCCCGAUGCAGUUGUUGAUUAUGAUCUUUUGAGUGGCAAGUGGAACAUUAUUCAGCAACAAAAUUUGCUCCAUGAAAGGACAAAAAUUCUCUAUGGAAAAGCCUCUACUCCACUUUCUGACAGAUUACCAAGUUCUAUUUGUUUUGAUUCUGAGAACAACAAAAGUAGUACUAAUGAGAACCCGUGGAACGACCUGUCUGAGUUUUAUGCUUGUGAGCACCAUAAUGUCCCUUCACACGACGGGGUCAUGAUACCAUUAACCAUUGUUUAUGCUAAGAGAAACAAAAAAGAAAUAGAGAGCCCCGUAUUACUUCAUGGACAUGGAGCUUAUGGUGAAUUGUUAGAUAAACGCUGGCGUAGUGAAUUAAAGAGCCUUCUUGAUCGUGGCUGGCUUAUCGCAUAUGCUGAUGUUAGAGGUGGAGGUGGUCGAGGUAAGAAGUGGCACGACGAUGGGAGACGCACGCUGAAAUUUAACUCUAUUCAAGACUUUCUGUGCUGUGGGAGAUUUUUGGUUGAUAAAAGAAUUGCGCAUGAGAACAAGCUUGCGGCUUGGGGAUAUAGUGCCGGAGGACUUUUAGUAGCAGCAGUUAUUAAUGCUUGCCCAGAGUUGUUCCGUGCUGCUGUGUUGAAGGUUCCAUUUUUGGAUCCGACAACUACCCUUUUGCAUCCUAUAUUACCCCUCACACCAGUUGAUUAUGAAGAAUUCGGGUAUCCGUUUGAUGUCGAAGAUUUUCAAGCAGUUCAGAAGUACUCUCCUUACAAUAGUAUCAGAAAUGAUGCUGUUUAUCCUGCUGUCUUGAUUACAUCAUCUUUCAGCACAAGAUUUGGAGUAUGGGAAGCUGCAAAAUGGGCUGCGCGUGUUCGAGAACGUACCAUUUACGACCCAACUCGUCCCAUUUUGCUCAACUUAACUACCGAUGUAGUCGAAGAAAAUAGGUACAUGAGAAGCAAGGAGUUAGCCUUGGAGACAGCAUUCCUUUUAAAAAUGAUGCAGUCCUAGCUGUUUGUUCGUGCUGAAGCAAAUUUUGUCAAAAAAAUACACUUUCUGAUUGCUCUUUUGGAUGAGAAGCUCAGCUUUUACUUGGAUUUAGACGCAGAUCUGCCAACCUUUUUCCAGUACUUUCUCUCAUGUGGUCUUGCUGUCACUAAUCUCUCUUUUUGCAGAGCUCGCUUUAAUUGGGGUAUAAUUGUCUGUUCAUUCCUCUUUCCAUGGCUCUUUCUUUGGUAUUCGUGCAUAGUAAAGAUUACCAAAUUAGCUAUAGCAAAGAUGUUGUAACUUAUACCGAAUUUCUUGGUAUGACUGAGUUGAUGAUUAUC